rnacentral:rRNA from 1 species
GGGGAAUAUUGGACAAUGGGCGCAAGCCUGAUCCAGCCAUGCCGCGUGUGUGAAGAAGGCCUUCGGGUUGUAAAGCACUUUUGUUGGGGAAGAAACCGGCCGGAUUAAUACUUCGGCUGAAUGACGGUACCCAAAGAAUAAGCACCGGCUAACUUCGUGCCAGCAGCCGCGGUAAUACGAAGGGUGCAAGCGUUACUCGGAAUUACUGGGCGUAAAGCGUGCGUAGGCGGUUUGUUAAGUCUGUCGUGAAAGCCCCGGGCUCAACCUGGGAAUGGCGAUGGAUACUGGCAAGCUAGAGUGUGUCAGAGGAUGGUGGAAUUCCCGGUGUAGCGGUGAAAUGCGUAGAGAUCGGGAGGAACACCAGUGGCGAAGGCGGCCAUCUGGGACAACACUGACGCUGAGGCACGAAAGCGUGGGGAGCAAAC